rnacentral:rRNA from 1 species
GGCUCAUUAAAUCAGUUAUCGUUUAUUUGAUAAUACCUUACUACUUGGAUAACCGUGGUAAUUCUAGAGCUAAUACAUGCUGAAAAUCCCGACUUCGGAAGGGAUGUGUUUAUUAGAUAAAAAACCAAUGCCCUUCGGGGCUCCUUGGUGAUUCAUGAUAACUUUACGGAUCGCAUAGCCUUGCGCUGGCGACGGUUCAUUCAAAUUUCUGCCCUAUCAACUUUCGAUGGUAAGGUAUUGGCUUACCAUGGUUUCAACGGGUAACGGGGAAUUAGGGUUCGAUUCCGGAGAGGCAGCCUGAGAAACGGCUACCACAUCCAAGGAAGGCAGCAGGCGCGCAAAUUACCCAAUCCCGACACGGGGAGGUAGUGACAAUAAAUACUGAUACAGGGCUCUUUUGGGUCUUGUAAUUGGAAUGAGUACAAUUUAAACCUCUUAACGAGGAACAAUUGGAGGGCAAGUCUGGUGCCAGCAGCCGCGGUAAUUCCAGCUCCAAUAGCGUAUAUUAAAGUUGUUGCAGUUAAAAAGCUCGUAGUUGAAACUUGGGCCUGGCUGGCGGGUCCGCCUCACCGCGUGCACUCGUCCGGCCGGGCCUUCCUUCUGAAGAACCUCAUGCCCUUCACUGGGCGUGCUGGGGAAUCAGGACUUUUACUUUGAAAAAAUUAGAGUGUUCAAAGCAGGCCUUUGCUCGAAUACGUUAGCAUGGAAUAAUAAAAUAGGGCGUGCGUUUCUAUUUUGUUGGUUUCUAGAGACGCCGCAAUGAUUAACAGGAACAGUCGGGGGCAUCAGUAUUCAGUUGUCAGAGGUGAAAUUCUUGGAUUUACUGAAGACUAACUACUGCGAAAGCAUUUGCCAAGGAUGUUUUCAUUAAUCAGUGAACGAAAGUUAGGGGAUCGAAGACGAUCAGAUACCGUCGUAGUCUUAACCGUAAACUAUGCCGACUAGGGAUCGGGCGAUGUUCUUUUUCUGACUCGCUCGUCACCUUACGA